rnacentral:rRNA from 1 species
UACGGGAGGCAGCAGUGGGGAAUAUUGCACAAUGGGCGCAAGCCUGAUGCAGCCAUGCCGCGUGUAUGAAAAAGGCCUUCGGGUUGUAAAGUACUUUCAGUCGUGAGGAAGGUGUUAAGGUUAAUAACCUUAGCAAUUGACGUUAGCGACAGAAGAAGCACCGGCUAACUCCGUGCCAGCAGCCGCGGUAAUACGGAGGGUGCGAGCGUUAAUCGGAAUUACUGGGCGUAAAGGGCACGCAGGCGGUUAAUUAAGUUGGAUGUGAAAUCCCCGGGCUUAACCUGGGAAUGGCAUUCAAGACUGGUUAGCUAGAGUCUUGUAGAGGGGGUAGAAUUCCAUGUGUAGCGGUGAAAUGCGUAGAGAUGUGGAGGAAUACCGGUGGCGAAGGCGGCCCCUGGGACAAAGACUGACGCUCAUGUGCGAAAGCGUGGGGAGCAAACAGGGAUUAGAUACC